rnacentral:rRNA from 1 species
GACGAACGCUGGCGGCGUGCUUAACACAUGCAAGUCGAACGGAAAGGCCCUGCUUUUGUGGUGUGCUCGAGUGGCGAACGGGUGAAUCACGCGUGUGUAACCUGCCCUUGACUUUGGUAUACCUUGAAAAAUCUGGGUAUUAUCCCGGAUAGGAGCUCCUGCUGCAUGUUGUGGGUUGGAAAGUUUCGUCGGUUGGGGAUGGACUCGCGGCUUAUCAGCUUGUGGGUGGGGUAGUGGCUUACCAAGGCUUUGACGGGUGGCCGGCCUGAGUGGGUGACCGGCAACAUGGGGACUGAGAUACGGCCCAGACUCCUCGGGGAGGCAGCAGUGGGGAAUAUUGCACAAUGGGCGGAAGCCGGAUGCAGCAAGGCCGCGGGCGGGAUGACGGCCUUCGGUUGGUAACCCGUUUUCGCCUGUGACGAAGUGUGAGUGACGGUAAUGGGUAAAGAAGCACCGGCUAACUACGUG